UACGCAGCAAGAGAUAACUGAUGCAAUCC
rnacentral:piRNA from 1 species